rnacentral:rRNA from 1 species
CCCUUAGAUGUCCUGGGCCGCACGCGCGUUACACUGAUGCAUUCAACGAGCUUAUAACCUUGGCCGAGAGGCCUGGGCAAUCUUGUUAACGUGCAUCGUGAUAGGGAUAGAUUAUUGAAAUUAUUAAUCUUGAACGAGGAAUUCCUAGUAAACGCAGAUCAUCAAUCUGCAUUGAUUACGUCCCUGCCCUUUGUACACACCGCCCGUCGCACCUACCGAUUGGAUGGUCCGGUGAAGCCUCGGGAUUGGGGUUCUUGCCGCUUUAUUGUGGCGUGACCGCGAGAACUUGUCUAAACCUUAUCAUCUAGAGGAAGGUGAAGUCGUAACA